rnacentral:lncRNA from 1 species
AUUUAAUUUUUUAUUUUGUGUUUUUGACUAUAUAUAAACAUGAUACGAUGAGGUUAAUUAUGACUACAUCUGUCAUAAAGUGUUUGUGUAUUGACUAUUAUAAUGCACAUGCCUUUGUGAAUACUUUAUAUCAACAAGUGCGUAUUCAACUGUAUAUAUGAGCAAGUGCAUUUGAGAUGACUAUACAUUAACAAGUGCGUAUGUAACGCAACAAUAUCAGGAAUUGCAGUUGUAAUGAUUAUAUAUGAACAAGCGCGUUUGUGAUGACUUUAUAUAAAAAUGAAAGUGCUCUUGUAUUGACUAUACGUAUACAAGUGCGUUUGUGGUGACUGUAUAUGAUCAAGAACAGUUGAAAUGACUAUAUAUGAACAUGCGCAUUUGUAACGACUGUCUAUAAAAACUGAAGAGCUCUUGUAUUGAGUAUAUGUAAACGAGUGCGUUUGUAAUGACUAUAUAUGAAUAAUUGCGUUUGCGACAACAAUACAUGAACAAGAGCGUUUGAAAUGACUAUAUAUGAACAAUUUCGUUUGUCAUUGCUUUGUGUAUAAACUAUUAUUCGUGUUCUGACUAUAUAUAAUAAAGUGUACUUUUCGAUACAUCAAUA